AUACUUACCUGGACGGGUUCAAUGGGCAAUCAACAAGGCUUAUGGCCUAGGCUAGUGACCUCCAUUGCACUUUGGAGGGGUGCCCGCCGAAGGUUUACCCAAGUGGUCUAACCUACAUCAUAAUUUGUGGUAGUGGGGGCCUGCGUUCGCGCGGCCCCUAC
rnacentral:snRNA from 1 species